rnacentral:rRNA from 1 species
AUACGGAGGAUCCGAGCGUUAUCCGGAUUUAUUGGGUUUAAAGGGUGCGCAGGCGGGAGAUUAAGGCGGCGGUGAAAUUUUUGAGCUCAACUGUACAAGGGCCUUUGGAACUGGGUUUCUUGAGUGUUGAUGAAGUAGGCGGGAUUUGUGGGUGAGCGGUGGAAUGCAUAGAUAUCACGAGGAACUCCGAUUGCGCAGGCAGCUUACUAAACUACUACUGACGCUCAGGCACGAAGGCGUGGGGAUCAAACAGGAUUAGAUACCCUGGUAGUCCACGCAGUAAACGAUGAUUACUAGCUGUUUGCGAUACAAUGUAAGCGGCUGAGCGAAAGCGUUAAGUAAUCCACCUGGGGAGUACGUUCGCAAGAAUGAAACUCAAAGGAAUUGACGGGG